rnacentral:lncRNA from 1 species
AUUAUAUCAAACUUGUAAACGGUUAAUUUGUAAAUCGUAAUGUCAAAACAUCAAAAUUAUAUCAAAAGUACAGUUAAAUGAAUCCCCGGUCCUCUUCAACUUUCUUUUUAAGCAGUUUUCUUUCUUGUGCUGUUCCCUUACGAUAGGGUAGUGUGCCGUAAUCGCUCUUAUAUUUGUAAUUAUUCACUUCAAUAUUUUCUAUGUUGUUUUCAUCCCUCUCUUUCCUAUGGACAACGGACGCGUGCUGCAUUGCCCUUUCUCUUUUUGCCAACCUCUGUGUACAUGCUAUGCAUACAUAUACCAUUAUCUUUUUCACAUGUAUCUCACUCCAGUGUUGAAUAUAUUUUGCG